rnacentral:rRNA from 1 species
AUUGAACGCUGGCGGCAUGCCUUACACAUGCAAGUCGAACGGCAGCACGGGAGCAAUCCUGGUGGCGAGUGGCGAACGGGUGAGUAAUAUAUCGGAACGUGCCCAGUAGUGGGGGAUAACUGCUCGAAAGAGCAGCUAAUACCGCAUACGACCUAAGGGUGAAAGGGGGGGAUCGCAAGACCUCUCGCUAUUGGAGCGGCCGAUAUCAGAUUAGCUAGUCGGUGGGGUAAAGGCCUACCAAGGCAACGAUCUGUAGUUGGUCUGGGAGGACGACCAGCCACACUGGGACUGAGACACGGCCCAGACUCCUACGGGAGGCAGCAGUGGGGAAUUUUGGACAAUGGGCGCAAGCCUGAUCCAGCAAUGCCGCGUGCAGGAAGAAGGCCUUCGGGUUGUAAACUGCUUUUGUCAGGGAAGAAAUCCUCUAGGUUAAUACCCUUGGGGGGAUGACGGUACCUGAAGAAUAAGCACCGGCUAACUACGUGCCAGCAGCCGCAGUAAUAC